rnacentral:rRNA from 1 species
UGGGGAAUAUUGCACAAUGGGCGAAAGCCUGAUGCAGCGACGCCGCGUGAGGGAUGGAGGCCUUCGGGUUGUAGACCUCUUUCGCUCAUGGUCAAGCCGCAACUGUGGGUUGUGGUGAGGGUAGUGGGUAAAGAAGCGCCGGCUAACUACGUGCCAGCAGCCGCGGUAAUACGUAGGGCGCGAGCGUUGUCCGGAAUUAUUGGGCGUAAAGGGCUUGUAGGCGGUUGGUCGCGUCUGCCGUGAAAUUCUCUGGCUUAACUGGGGGCGUGCGGUGGGUACGGGCUGACUUGAGUGCGGUAGGGGAGACUGGAACUCCUGGUGUAGCGGUGGAAUGCGCAGAUAUCAGGAAGAACACCGGUGGCGAAGGCGGGUCUCUGGGCCGUUACUGACGCUGAGGAGCGAAAGCGUGGGGAGCGAACAGGAUUAGAUACCCUGGUAGUCCACGCUGUAAACGUUGGGCACUAGGUGUGGGGGCCACCCGUGGUUUCUGUGCCGUAGCUAACGCUUUAAGUGCCCCGCCUGGGGAGUACGGCCGCAAGGCUA